rnacentral:ncRNA from 1 species
ACUAGGGAAAAACCUUAUAAAUGCAAGUAAUGUGGAAACCUCACCCAGCCUGGACACAGAAAGGAUUGACAGAUUGAUAGCUCUUUCUCAAUUCUGUGGGUGGUAGUGCAUGGCCAUUCUUAGUUGGUGGAGCAAUUUGUCUGGUUAAUUACAAUAAUGAAUGAGACUCUGGCAUGCUAACUACUUAUGCGAUCCCCAAGUGGUUGGCAUCUCAACUUCUUAGAGGGACAAAUGGCAUUCAGCCACCCAAGAUUGAGCAAUAACAAGUCUGUGAUACCCUUAAAUGUCCAGGGCUGCAUGUGCACUACACUGACUGGCUCAGUGUGUGCCUACCCUAUGCUGGCAGGCACAGGUAACCUGUUGAACCCCAUUCAUGAUGGGAAUCAGGGAUUGCAAUUAUUCCCCAUGAAUGAGGAAUUCCCAGUAAGUGCAGGUCAUAAGCUUAUUCUAAUUAAGUC